AAGAAGACCUGCGUCGCGAGGAUGAUUGCCGCCAGCUGAGUGGCACCCAGCUGGCCGACCAUGA
rnacentral:sRNA from 1 species